rnacentral:ncRNA from 1 species
CUAGUAAACGGAUGAAAAAUAACCGUACCUAGAUACUGAAACAAGUAAGCAAGUAGAGUAUACGAAGGCGUGAUUAAGCUAACAAUCAUAAAGGAACUCGGCAAAUUGACUACUAUAACUUCGGAAUAAAGAGGGCUCAUUAUUCUUGAUUAAUAUCAAGUAAAGAGGAAGAAGCAUGGAAUAAUAUUGUACGACUGUUUAAUUAAAACACAGCACUUUGCUUAAAGAUAAAAAAAUCUAUGUAUAAAGUGUGAAAUCUGCCCGGUGCCGGCUGGUUAAUGAAGAUAAUUAAAUGAUCUAACAUUUGAUGUUGACAGAACCCCCGGUUAAAGGCGGCCUUAACGUGAGGGUCCUAAGGUAGCGAAAUGCCUUGGCCGUUAAAUGCGGUCUUGCAUGAAUGAUGUAACGAUACAACAGCUGUCUCUAUGAUUGACUCAGUGAAAUUGGAAUAACUGUGCAGAUACAGUUUACCUCUAGUUAGACGAGAAGACCCUAUGCAGCUUUACUGU